GGAAGGCCAAAGGUGGCAUUCUAAACAUAACAGCAUCAAGUGAAACCCAGAAGUACCAACAGGACAAAUUUGGAAGGCUUACAAGAGUUUAACACCUGGCACACAAGCAUGUGCAAAUAUUUGUCAACUUUGAUAUAAACAGCAGCUGAACCAGGGGACGCGGUUCAAUCCCUGGACGGAGAACUAAGAUCCCACAUACCCCGGGACAACUAAGCUCGCACACGCCACAACUACUGAGCCCCCACGCCACAACUAGAGAGUCCGCAUGGUGCAAACUACAGAGCCCACGCACUCUGGAGCCUAUGAGCUCUGGAGCCUGUGCGUCACAACUAGAGAGAGGAAACCCACACACCACGACUAGAGAGAAGUCCGUGUGCCGCAACGAAGAGCUCGAGCACCGCAAGGAUCCUGCAUACAGCAACGAAGAUCCCACGUGCUGAAACUAAGACCCAACACAGCCAAAAAUAUAAAUAAAUAA